UCCGGUUUGGCACCGGCAGUCUCCCAUGAGUCCCCGGCAUGAUCCGCUGGCAACAUGGGACAGGGGUUGCGCUCGUUGCGCCACUUAAGGCAACACCUCACGGCACGAGCUGACGACGGCCAUGCAGCACCUGUGCGGGCUCCCGAAGGAGGACCGUAUUUCUACGGCUUCACCCCGCAUGUCAAGCCCUGGUAAGGUUCUUCGCGUCGCGUCGAAUUAAGCCACAUGCUCCGCCGCUUGUGCGGGCCCCCGUCAAUUCCUUUGAGUUUUAGCCUUGCGGCCGUACUCCCCAGGCGGGGUGCUUAAUGCGUUAGCUACGGCACGGAGCGAGUCAAUCGCCCUGUGCCGAAGCUAACGCAU
rnacentral:misc_RNA from 1 species